rnacentral:rRNA from 1 species
GACGAACGCUGGCGGCGUGCUUAACACAUGCAAGUCGAACGGAAAGGCCCUGCUUUUGUGGGGUGCUCGAGUGGCGAGCGGGUGAGUAACACGUGAGUAACCUGCCCUUGACUUUGGGAUAACUUCAGGAAACUGGGGCUAAUACCGGAUAGGAGCUCCUGCUGCAUGGUGGGGGUUGGAAAGUUUCGGCGGUUGGGGAUGGACUCGCGGCUUAUCAGCUUGUUGGUGGGGUAGUGGCUUACCAAGGCUUUGACGGGUAGCCGGCCUGAGAGGGUGACCGGCCACAUUGGGACUGAGAGACGGACCAGACGCCAACGGGAGGCAGCAGUGGGGAAUAUUGCACAGUGGGCGGAAGCCGGAUGCAGCAACGCCGCGUGUGGGAUGACGGCCUGCGGGGUGUAAACCGCUUUCGCCUGAGACGAAGCGGGAGUGACGGUAAUGGGUAAAGAAGCACCGGCUAACUACGUG